AUGAACGCUAGCGACAGGCCUAACACAUGCAAGUCGAGGGGCAGCACAAGGAGCAAUCUGAGGUGGCGACCGGCGCGCGGGUGAGUAACACGUAUGCAACCUGCCUGUAAGCGGGGAAUAACCCGUUGAAAGACGGACUAAUACCGCAUAAUACUAAAUUACUGCAUGGUAAUUUAUUUAAACAUUUAUGGCUUACAGAUGGGCAUGCGCAUGAUUAGCUAGUUGGAGAGGUAACGGCUCCCCAAGGCAACGAUCAUUAGGGGUUCUGAGAGGAAGGUCCCCCACACUGGUACUGAGACACGGACCAGACUCCUACGGGAGGCAGCAGUGAGGAAUAUUGGUCAAUGGACGAGAGUCUGAACCAGCCAAGUCGCGUGCAGGAAGAAUGUCCCUAUGGAUUGUAAACUGCUUUUGCAGGGGAAUAAAGUGCAUCACGUGUGAUGUUUUGUAUGUACUCUGCGAAUAAGGAUCGGCUAACUCCGUGCCAGCCGCCGC
rnacentral:rRNA from 1 species